UACGGAGGAUCCGAGCGUUUUCCGGAAUUAUUGGGUUUAAAGGGUGCGUAGGCGGCCAUUUAAGUCAGCGGUGAAAUUUUGCAGCUUAACUGUAACAGUGCCGUUGAUACUGGGGAGCUAGGAUUUGGUUGCUGUGGGUGGAAUGUGUGGUGUAGCGGUGAAAUGCUUAGAGAUCACACAGAAUAUCGAUUGCGAAGGCAGCUCACAAAGCCAAGAUUGACGCUGAGGCACGAAAGUGUGGGGAUCAAACAGGAUUAGA
rnacentral:rRNA from 1 species